ACAGAAACCCUACCCACAAGUGCAAAAAUAACAUAAAUAGGACAAAUCUCCAACACCCACUUCAUAAAGUCAAAAGGACACAAAUCCUUAAAAACCUUUCAAAUUACAUCAUACAGUAAACAAAAAAUUACAUUUAUAUAACAAAAAAUUACAUAUAUAUUUCCCUAAAAUGAAACUGAAGAACAUCCGGAUAAGAAAAAAUAAUAAUAAUAAAACGCAGAAUCGAAUCGGGUUUUAUUUAGGUACCCUUACUCUUAUCCCCUCUGAAGAUGUGUGUUUUAUUAACCCUUUAGCUUAAAAAACUAACAGCGCUUGAGCAAAUUGUAUUCACCUUUCUCUUGUUCUUUGAUUUCUGUUUGUAACUUUGCUUUCUGCGCUGGUUGCACAGUGAAACCCUUAUGGAUUUGAUUCAG
rnacentral:lncRNA from 1 species